rnacentral:rRNA from 1 species
UGGGGAAUCUUGCACAAUGGGCGAAAGCCUGAUGCAGCAACGCCGCGUGCGGGAAGAAGGCCCUCGGGUUGUAAACCGCUUUCAGAAGGAACGAAACUGACGGUACUUUCAGAAGAAGGUGCGGCCAACUACGUGCCAGCAGCCGCGGUGACACGUAGGCACCAAGCGUUGUCCGGAUUUAUUGGGCGUAAAGAGCUCGUAGGCGGUUCAGUAAGUCGGGUGUGAAAACUUUGGGCUUAACCCAAAGCGUGCAUCCGAUACUGCUGUGACUUGAGUACGGUAGGGGAGCGGGGAAUUCCUAGUGUAGCGGUGAAAUGCGCAGAUAUUAGGAGGAACACCGGUGGCGAAGGCGCCGCUCUGGGCCGAAACUGACGCUGAGGAGCGAAAGCAUGGGUAGCAAACAGGAUUAGAUACCCCCGUAGUCC